rnacentral:lncRNA from 1 species
CGACAAUUGAUAAAUGUUUAAGGUAUUCAAAAGGAGAACUCUUAUAUAUGUGGUUUAGAGAUGUUCUCCAAUAUUGGGAGUUACUAUGCAACACAUUAGUACCUUGACUAAAUGUCAAAAUUGCCUAGGGAGUUUGAUGUUGAUCAAGCAUACAAAGGUCUUGAAUUUGUCCGCAAGUUGACAUAGUUCCACGUUCUCCCAUGUGUUUUAGAGUUAUUUUGGUACCUCAUUUAUGAGAAGUGAUGCAUUGUGAGUUAUUAGGAUAUCAUAUUAGAAAACAUAAAUGAUACAUUUAAGGUGACAUUGCAUUCACAUAUACAUAUAAUGAAUUUGGUGUUGUGUGAAUACGAGAAUAUAGGUUACCG